rnacentral:rRNA from 1 species
GUAGGCGGCCUGUUGCGUCCGCUGUGAAAGCCCGGGGCUUAACCCCGGGUCUGCAGUGGAUACGGGCAGGCUAGAGGUAGGUAGGGGAGAAUGGAAUUCCCGGUGUAGCGGUGAAAUGCGCAGAUAUCGGGAGGAACACCGGUGGCGAAGGCGGUUCUCUGGGCCUUACCUGACGCUGAAGAGCGAAAGCGUGGGGAGCGAACAGGAUUAGAUACCCUGGUAGUCCACGCCGUAAACGUUGGGCGCUAGGUGUGGGAUCCUUCCACGGAUUCCGUGCCGCAGCUAACGCAUUAAGCACCCCGCCUGGGGAGUACGGCCGCAAGGCUAAAACUCAAAGGAAUUGGCGGGGGAGCACA